GCUUCUCUUUUUUCUCUUCUCCCUUAUCUUGAUGGCUGGUUUCUACUUCUCAAAGAUCAGAACAGUGGGAGAGAGAAGAGGGAAGGGGCAGGAAAUUUCCCUCUGGUGUGGUUGUGAUGUAGCUCCUGUGCUUUCUAGACUUGCAGGUGAUGAAAGCUCACUUUUUUUUUUCUGGUGGGAAGCUUUUACACGGGUUCUUCAGAGGCUCCCAUCACUGGGGAUCCCUCAGUUGAAACUCUCUGGAGAUGACAAAUGCAUCUCUAUUUCUGUUAGUUGCUUGAUUUUUUCUUAACCCCUUUUCAUUAAACAAUACCUGAUUCAUUCUCUAUCUUUUUCUCUUCUUUUCUGCAGGA
rnacentral:lncRNA from 10 species